rnacentral:rRNA from 1 species
UUGAACGCUGGCGGCAUGCCUUACACAUGCAAGUCGAACGGUAACAGGGAGCUUGCUCCGCUGACGAGUGGCGAACGGGUGAGUAAUGUAUCGGAACGUACCAUUCAGUGGGGGAUAACGUAGCGAAAGUUACGCUAAUACCGCAUAUUCUGUGAGCAGGAAAGCAGGGGAUCGCAAGACCUUGCGCUGAUUGAGCGGCCGAUAUCAGAUUAGCUAGUUGGUGAGGUAAAAGCUCACCAAGGCGACGAUCUGUAGCGGGUCUGAGAGGAUGAUCCGCCACACUGGAACUGAGACACGGUCCAGACUCCUACGGGAGGCAGCAGUGGGGAAUUUUGGACAAUGGGGGCAACCCUGAUCCAGCCAUGCCGCGUGAGUGAAGAAGGCCUUCGGGUUGUAAAGCUCUUUCAGCCGGGAAGAAAACGCAUGGGUUAAUACCCUGUGUGGAUGACGGUACCGGAAUAAGAAGCACCGGCUAACUACGU